UGGACAAACACAAUAGAAAUUGGAACAAAGAUUCAGAACACGACUUCAUAUGAGAAUCGAAAGCAGGAGAUAAAGAUAUGACAGAUUUCACCCAAUAUAUAUUGAGCAUCUCCCGUGGGCCAGGUAACUUUACAGCGACACUUGCAUUCAUGGAAAUAAAAUCUAGAAGAGUUGAAAAAAAACAACAAAAAUUGCUGCUCUGAGCAUCAUUUUGGACAAUAAGACAAUCAAGUUUUACUUCAUAGAUUAUUCAUCAGAUGGUAUUUUCUGCAGAAAGGAAAAUUUAUUGAUUACACCAGACAUGGAAAUUAAGAUCCUUAUAGAACAUUAUAUUUAUUGUACCUUAAAUAGAUCAUCAAUUGAUUAGUAUGCAAUUAUUCAAUAAAUUGGGAAGUAGAUGAAGGAAAUGUUGAGAUUAGAAGAAUUUAAGUGACCUUGACUUUAAUGAUGAUCGUUUCGAAAACCAGCCUCCAGAAGAAAAUUUGCCUGAUGUUCCGAUGUAUGAUGAAUCUCCAUUUUUUACAUCCCUCUAAAGAACACAAGAUAUGGAUCUCUGAAACAUCUCCCUCCUAGAACAUUGAUUUGUGCACUUCUAAUAAAUCAAAAUCUUACUCUACA
rnacentral:lncRNA from 1 species